rnacentral:tRNA from 1 species
UCCCUGGUGGCUCAGAGGUUAGAGUGUCUGCCUCCAAUGCGGGAGACCUGGGUUCGAUCCCUGGGUUGGGAA